UUCGCAAUGCCCGAAAGGGUGACGAAGCGACGCCGCGUGUGGGAAGAAGGCCUUCGGGUUGUAAACCACUGUCGGGAGUUAAGAAAUGCAAGGAUAUUAAUAGUGUCUUUGUUUGACUAAGGCUCCGGAGGAAGCCACGGCUAACUCUGUGCCAGCAGCCGCGGUAAUACAGAGGCGGCAAGCGUUGUUCGGAAUUAUUGGGCGUAAAGAGCACGUAGGCGGCUAUGUAAGUCGGUUGUGAAAGCCUUCCGCUCAACGGGAGAACAGCAUCCGAUACUGCAUGGCUUGAGUGCGGGAGGGGAGAGUGGAACUUCUGGUGGAGCGGUGAAAUGCGUAGAUAUCAGAAGGAACGCCGGCGGCGAAAGCGGCUCUCUGGCCCAUAACUGACGCUGAGUGUGCGAAAGCUAGGGGAGCAAACGGGAUUAGAUACCCCGGUAGUCCUAGCCAUAAACGAUGGGCACUAAGUAGAGGGGUUUU
rnacentral:rRNA from 1 species